rnacentral:rRNA from 1 species
UACGAAGGGGGCGAGCGUUGUUCGGAUUUACUGGGCGUAAAGGGCGCGUAGGCGGCCCUCCUAGUCGCGUGUGAAAGCCCCGGGCUCAACCUGGGAAUUGCGCGCGAAACGGGGGGGCUUGAGUUCGGGAGAGGAGCGUGGAAUUCCCAGUGUAGAGGUGAAAUUACGUAGAUAUUGGGAAGAACACCGGGUGGCGAAAG